rnacentral:rRNA from 1 species
GUGCCAGCAGCCGCGGUAAUACGUAGGUGGCAAGCGUUGUCCGGAAUUACUGGGCGUAAAGGGCGAGUAGGCGGCCAGUUGUGUCAGAUGUGAAAGGCUAGGGCUCAACCCUAACAGUGCAUUUGAAACUGACUGGCUUGAGUGUAGGAGAGGGAAGCGGAAUUCCUAAUGUAGCGGUGAAAUGCGUAGAUAUUAGGAGGAACACCAGUGGCGAAGGCGGCUUCCUGGCCUAUAACUGACGCUGAUGCGCGAAAGCGUGGGGAGCAAACAGGAUUAGAUACCCUGGUAGUCCACGCCGUAAACGAUGGGUGCUAGGUGUGGGAGGUAUCGACCCCUUCCGUGCCAUAGCUAACGCAAUAAGCACCCCGCCUGGGGAGUACGGUCGCAAGACUGAAACUCAAAUAAAUUGACGG